rnacentral:rRNA from 1 species
GACGAACGCUGGCGGCGUGCUUAACACAUGCAAGUCGAGCGGAAAGGCCACUUCGGUGGUACUCGAGCGGCGAACGGGUGAGUAACACGUGGGUAAUCUGCCCCUGGCUUUGGGAUAGCCACCGGAAACGGUGAUUAAUACCGGAUACGACCACUUCUCGCAUGGGAUGGUGGUGGAAAGUUUUUUCGGCCAGGGAUGUGCUCGCGGCCUAUCAGCUUGAUGGUGAGGUAAUGGCUCACCAUGGCCUCGACGGGUAGCCGGCCUGAGAGGGUGACCGGUCACACUGGGACUGAGACACGGCCCAGACUCCUACGGGAGGCAGCAGUGGGGAAUAUUGGACAAUGGGCGGAAGCCUGAUCCAGCAACGCCGCGUGAGGGAUGACGGCCUUCGGGUUGUAAACCUCUUUCAGCAGGGACGAAGCGCAAGUGACGGUACCUGCAGAAGAAGCACCGGCCAACUACGUGCCAGCAGCCGCCGUAA